rnacentral:rRNA from 1 species
GACGGGGACCCGCACAAGCGGUGGAUGAUGUGGAUUAAUUCGAUGCAACGCGAAGAACCUUACUACCCUUGACAUGUCCGGAACUUGCCAGAGAUGGCUUGGUGCCCGAAAGGGAAUCGGAACACAGGUGCUGCAUGGCUGUCGUCAGCUCGUGUCGUGAGAUGUUGGGGUUAAGUCCCGCAACGAGCGCAACCCUUAUCAUUAGUUGCUACGCAAGGGCACUCUAAUGAGACUGCCGGUGACAAACCGGAGGAAGGUGGGGAUGACGUCAAGUCCUCAUGGCCCUUAUGGGUAGGGCUUCACACGUCAUACAAUGGUCGGUACAGAGGGUUGCCAAGCCGCGAGGCGGAGCCAAUCCCACAAAGCCGAUCGUAGUCCGGAUUGUUCUCUGCAACUCGAGAGCAUGAAGUCGGAAUCGCUAGUAACCGCAGGUCAGCAUACUGCGGUGAAUACGUUCCCGGGUCUU